rnacentral:rRNA from 1 species
GGAAUAUUGGACAAUGGGGGGAACCCUGAUCCAGCGACGCCGCGCGAGUGAAGAAGUAUUUCGGUAUGUAAAGCUCUAUCAGCAGGGGAGAAAGAAAUGACGGUACCUGACUAAGAAGCCCCGGCUAACUACGUGCCAGCAGCCGCGGUAAUACGUAGGGGGCAAGCGGUAUCCGGAUUUACUGGGUGUAAAGGGAGCCUAGACGGCAGCGCAAGUCUGGAGUGAAAUCCCAUGGCUUAACCAUGGAACUGCUUUGGAAACUGUGCAGCUGGAGUGCAGGAGAGGUAAGCGGAAUUCCUAGUGUAGCGGUGAAAUGCGUAGAUAUUAGGAGGAACACCAGUGGCGAAGGCGGCUUACUGGACUGUAACUGACGUUGAGGCUCGAAAGCGUGGGGAGCAAA